AUUGAACGCUGGCGGCAGGCCUAACACAUGCAAGUCGAGCGAGCGGCGGACGGGUGAGUAAUGUCUGGGAAACUGCCUGUUGGUGGGGGAUAACUACUGGAAACGGUAGCUAAUACAGCAUACUAUCGGAUGUGCCCAGAUGGGAUUUGCUGGUGGGUUGGGUAAAGGCUCACCUAGGCGACGAUCCCUAGCUGGUCUGAGAGGAUGACCAGCUACACUGGAACGGAGACACGGUCCAGACUCCUACGGUAGGCAGCAGUGGGGAAUAGUGCACAAUGGGCGCAGGCCUGAUGCAGCCAUGCCGCGUGGAUGAAGAAGGCCUUCGGGUUGUAAAGUACUUUCAGCGGGAAGGCGGUACCCGCAGAAGAAGCACCGGCUAACUCCGUGCCAGCAGCCGCGGUAAUAC
rnacentral:rRNA from 1 species